UACGUAGGGUGCGAGCGUUGUCCGGAAUUACUGGGCGUAAAGAGCUCGUAGGUGGUUUGUCACGUCGUCUGUGAAAUUCCGGGGCUUAACCUCGGGCGUGCAGGCGAUACGGGCAAUACUUGAGUGCUGUAGGGGAGACUGGAAUUCCUGGUGUAGCGGUGAAAUGCGCAGAUAUCAGGAGGAACACCAAUGGCGAAGGCAGGUCUCUGGGCAGUUACUGACGCUGAGGAGCGAAAGCAUGGGUAGCAAACAGGAUUAGAUA
rnacentral:rRNA from 1 species